rnacentral:rRNA from 1 species
GACGAACGCUGGCGGCGUGCCUAAUACAUGCAAGUUGAGCGCUGAAGGUUGGUACUUGUACCGACUGGAUGAGCAGCGAACGGGUGAGUAACGCGUGGGGAAUCUGCCUUUGAGCGGGGGACAACAUUUGGAAACGAAUGCUAAUACCGCAUAAAAACUUUAAAUACAAGUUUUAAGUUUGAAAGAUGCAAUUGCAUCACUCAAAGAUGAUCCCGCGUUGUAUUAGCUAGUUGGUGAGGUAAAGGCUCACCAAGGCGAUGAUACAUAGCCGACCUGAGAGGGUGAUCGGCCACAUUGGGACUGAGACACGGCCCAAACUCCUACGGGAGGCAGCAGUAGGGAAUCUUCGGCAAUGGACGAAAGUCUGACCGAGCAACGCCGCGUGAGUGAAGAAGGUUGUCGGAUCGUAAAACUCUGUUGGUAGAGAAGAACGUUGGUGAGAGUGGAAAGCUCAUCAAGUGACGGUAACUACCCAGAAAGGGACGGCUAACUACGUG